rnacentral:rRNA from 1 species
AUUGAACGCUGGCGGCAGGCCUAACACAUGCAAGUCGAACGGUAACAGGAAACAGCUUGCUGUUUCGCUGACGAGUGGCGGACGGGUGAGUAAUGUCUGGGAAACUGCCUGAUGGAGGGGGAUAACUACUGGAAACGGUAGCUAAUACCGCAUAACGUCGCAAGACCAAAGAGGGGGACCUUCGGGCCUCUUGCCAUCAGAUGUGCCCAGAUGGGAUUAGCUAGUAGGUGGGGUAACGGCUCACCUAGGCGACGAUCCCUAGCUGGUCUGAGAGGAUGACCAGCCACACUGGAACUGAGACACGGUCCAGACUCCUACGGGAGGCAGCAGUGGGGAAUAUUGCACAAUGGGCGCAAGCCUGAUGCAGCCAUGCCGCGUGUAUGAACAAGGCCUUCGGGUUGUAAAGUACUUUCAGCGGGGAGGAAGGGAGUAAAGUUAAUACCUUUGCUCAUUGACGUUACCCGCAGAAGAAGCACCGGCUAACUCCGUG